CACGGCGGGGAAGGUACUCGAAAAGAUCAUCCUCAACAGAUUGUUAAUUGAGGAACACCGAGGGUGUAAAUGGUCUCUCGAGCAACUAGUUCGUCUUCCGGAAGUGGAGGUCGACCGUAGACGCCAUCUUGUCAGUUACAAAGACCGCUGAGAUAGCGCUCCAGCGUAAGAGAAGGGGGAUUCGCUACCUUGCAGUAGUGACUCUGCACUCUGUGGAACAAAGCUAAGCUACCAAAGUCCGAAUUCUCUAAAAUCAUCGCAGAGAGCUAGGAAGUGGUCGUUGACUUCGUGGAAGGCCGCGCACAAGUUGGCUUUGUGCAGUUAAGGAAAGUCUAAGGACUCCAAACGUUCAGGGCGACUGGAAGCGAUUGACCCAUGACUGUGACCAGUGCAGGCGGAUACAUCAUUCGGCGUAGACUCACCGCUACGAGUUGUAGCCCAUCAAGUAGAAAGUAGGUAUGAAAUGCUAGUUGUUGACACCGAAACUCUUGUAGCGAUCCCAGAUAAAUUAAACACGGAUGUUUAUGGGAUGUGCUUUAGCUGUAAGUUUAUUUAGUGGUAUUACAUUUGCAUGUGCAUGAAUUAAGGAGUACUUACAAAUUUUCAGUAUAUCUUUUUUUUUUUUUUUUUUUUUUUUCUUUUUUUUUUUCAUAGUGAUUACGGCGGUAGCACACUGUGCUUAUGUUCUAACACCGCACCCUUUCCCUACGUUUGCUUCUAUGAGCCUCUAUUUAUGUUUCAACACACAGAAGUACGUAGGCAUAUCGUGGCCCAAGUCGACACUGUUUUGGCCUGCGUUGAACAAAAAUAGUUUUAAUAAAAGUUUCCCCUUUUUUCUUUUUGUCAAUUGUUUUUUUUUGUAGUAUGGUCCAUGUAUUUAGUUAGGUUCUUGUCAAUUUGUCAGUUAUUCGAAGUAGAUCUCCAAUAUGUAGUCAAUAAGUCAAUUAAGUCAUUUUGAUCUGUUCUAUCAUAGCAGCUUUAGUCUUUGCUUUAUUGAAGUGUAGUUUGGAAAUAUGCUGAAUAUCGUUAUUAAAAAGAGACGUCUGGAACUGUGUCCUGCUAGUUGUUCCGUCAUGCACUAAUAAUGCCUAGGAGAUUAACGAAAACACGUGUGUUCGGUCAGAUGUCCAUUGCGUAGAAAGUCAAGGAAAAUAGGUUUCUUUAUUGUCAGUUGUUAUGUAAGCCUCGCUUGAAGCACUUCCCGUGUGAACCCUGUCAUCUGUACACCAACUAAUCCGUAUCUUCGUACACAGCUAAAUACUAUACUGCCAACCGGCGAAAAGCCUAUGGAUACCCCACGGAAUUGAUGAGUAGUGAGUACAAUGCAGAGAUCCCCCCCCUCACACUCCCAAAUUGUGGUAGGCCCCCGCUAAACCUGCAAACCAGACCCACUCCCAGCCAAAAUCUCUAGCAGAUGUGGACAAACCGGUGCUCAACGUGCUCUCCCAUAGUGGCAACAUCAAAUAUGUGGACUGUACAACAAUAGUAGUUUUAAUGAAAUGAAUACUAAGAAUUUAGGCCGACACUCGAAGUGACGAACUUUACAGUGCUAGUUGAGUAAAUACACGAAAGAUGGGUAACAACAAAUGUGCACAAACAGAUGCAUAACAAUAUGCAUGCAAAAAAAGGCCGCAAC